AAGCCCCGUCUGGAGAGAACGGUUGAUAAAGCCAGAAAGCCGUGGGAAAAGCGCUGUAAUCCCUUGCGACUUUGAUGACUUCGGAAACACAGCCAGACUCUGCCGUACAGGCAAACCGUCUAACCCAAUGGGCAAGUGCAUUCGAAGCCUCUUGGAAACGAAUCCAGAUCUGAAUGGAAAAACACACACUCUCAAUGUUCC